UGAAGAUGACUCGAGCUUUAGCAACAUUUCUCGUUGUGAUCGCUUUUUUUAUUCUUACAUCAGGUAUAUUCUUGCUAAGUUCAUUUUUCUUCUUUUAUAUUCCAACGUGUUAAAAAUGAUGUUACAUGAGUAAAACGAAAUUCUCUUACGUUUCGUUUGUUAUCCAAAAAGGUGGCAAGUGUUUGGAUAUUCUAUUUUUCCCAUUUAAUCAAAUGAAAAUGAAUUUGACUAAAGGCCAUAUGUUAGUUGAAGUCAAAUGAAAAAGUUUAUCCACAAGGAGAGAGAUUGUUUAUAUAUGUAGCUAUAUGUAGGGAAAAUACAUGAGUAGACUUGUUCGAAAAAGUGAUUUACACAUUUUAAUUAACUUUAAUAUUUUUUGUGUGUGCAGAAAAUGGAAUGCGUUCAGUUGAAGGUAUUGAAACAGGGAUUUGUGAAAGGUUUGUUCUAGGGGUAAUUUGUCCACCAGAAGAAGAUUCAAGGAUAUGCCUAACAGAGUGCACUAACAUAUCCAGAAGUCAUAACCCCAUUAAUCAUACUUGUUUACAAGGCAAAGAUUCAACUUUCUGCUUUUGUCAGUGGCUCUCAGAUUUAUGUUAAUGGAGAUCUUUUACUUCCAUCAAACAUUCAUUAUUAUUCUCGAUCGAUCGACACUUAAGUACACCAAUCAAUUCUAGAAG
rnacentral:lncRNA from 1 species